CACGUAGGGGGCAAGCGUUGUCCGGAAUUACUGGGCGUAAAGGGCGUGUAGGCGGUCUAUUAAGUCAGUGGUGAAAAUCCAGGGCUCAACCCUGGACUUGCCAUUGAAACUGGAAGACUUGAGGGCAGGAGAGGUAAGUGGAAUUCCUAGUGUAGCGGUGAAAUGCGUAGAUAUUAGGAAGAACACCAGUGGCGAAGGCGACUUACUGGCCUGACCCUGACGCUGAGGAGCGAAAGCGUGGGGAGCAAACAGG
rnacentral:rRNA from 1 species